rnacentral:rRNA from 1 species
CACGUAGUUAGCCGGGGCUUCUUAGUCAGGUACCGUCAUUUCUUCUUCCCUGCUGAUAGGACUUUACAUACCGAAAUACUUCUUCGUCCACGCGGCGUCGCUGCAUCAGGGUUUCCCCCAUUGUGCAAUAUCCCCCACUGCUGCCUCCCGUAGGAGUUUGGGCCGUGUCUCAGUCCCAAUGUGGCCGUCCGCCCUCUCAGGCCGGCUACUGAUCGUCGCUUUGGUGGGCCUCUACCCCGCCAACUGGCUAAUCAGACGCGGGCCCCUCCCAUACCACUAUUGUUUUUCACACAGAACCAUGCGGUCCCGUGCGCUUAUGCGGUAUUAGCAGCCGUUUCCGGCUGUUAUCCCCCUGUAUGGGGCAGGUUGCCCACGCGUUACUCACCCGUCCGCCACUCAGUCACUUCCCUUUCCCUCCGAAGAGUUCCGGAAAAGCGCUUCGUUCGACUUGCAUGUGUUAGGCACGCCGCCAGCGUUCAUCCUGAGCCAGGAUCAAACUCU